UACCUUUUAACGCUGAGGUGUGAUGACGAGGCACUACGGUGCUGAAGUAACAAAUGCCCUGCUUCCAGGAAAAGCCUCUAAGCAUCAGGUAACAUUAAAUCGUACCCCAAACCGACACAGGUGGUCAGGUAGAGAAUACCAAGGCGCUUGAGAGAACUCGGGUGAAGGAACUAGGCAAAAUGGUGCCGUAACUUCGGGAGAAGGCACGCUGGUGUGUAGGUGAAGUCCCUGCGGACGGAGCUGAGACCAGUCGAAGAUACCAGCUGGCUGCAACUGUUUAUUAAAAACACAGCACUGUGCAAACACGAAAGUGGACGUAUACGGUGUGACGCCUGCCCGGUGCCGGAAGGUUAAUUGAUGGGGUUAUCCGUAAGGAGAAGCUCUUGAUCGAAGCCCCGGUAAACGGCGGCCGUAACUAUAACGGUCCUAAGGUAGCGAAAUUCCUUGUCGGGUAAGUUCCGACCUGCACGAAUGGCGUAAUGAUGGCCAGGCUGUCUCCACCCGAGACUCAGUGAAAUUGAACUCGCUGUGAAGAUGCAGUGUACCCGCGGCAAGACGGAAAGACCCCGUGAACCUUUACUAUAGCUUGACACUGAACAUUGAGCCUUGAUGUGUAGGAUAGGUGGGAGGCUUUGAAGCGUGGACGCCAGUCUGCGUGGAGCCAACCUUGAAAUACCACCCUUUAAUGUUUGAUGUUCUAACGUAGGCCCCUGACCGGGGUUGCGGACAGUGUCUGGUGGGUAGUUUGACUGGGGCGGUCUCCUCCCAAAGAGUAACGGAGGAGCACGAAGGUUAGCUAAUCCUGGUCGGACAUCAGGAGGUUAGUGCAAUGGCAUAAGCUAGCUUGACUGCGAGCGUGACGGCGCGAGCAGGUGCGAAAGCAGGUCAUAGUGAUCCGGUGGUUCUGAAUGGAAGGGCCAUCGCUCAACGGAUAAAAGGUACUCCGGGGAUAACAGGCUGAUACCGCCCAAGAGUUCAUAUCGACGGCGGUGUUUGGCACCUCGAUGUCGGCUCAUCACAUCCUGGGGCUGAAGUAGGUCCCAAGGGUAUGGCUGUUCGCCAUUUAAAGUGGUACGCGAGCUGGGUUUAGAACGUCGUGAGACAGUUCGGUCCCUAUCUGCCGUGGGCGCUGGAGAAUUGAGGGGGGCUGCUCCUAGUACGAGAGGACCGGAGUGGACGCAUCACUGGUGUUCGGGUUGUCAUGCCAAUGGCACUGCCCGGUAGCUAAAUGCGGAAGAGAUAAGUGCUGAAAGCAUCUAAGCACGAAACUUGCCCCGAGAUGAGUUCUCCCUGAGACUUUAAGUCUCCU
rnacentral:rRNA from 1 species